rnacentral:rRNA from 1 species
GCCUAACACAUGCAAGUCGAACGGUAACAGGAAACAGCUUGCUGUUUCGCUGACGAGUGGCGGACGGGUGAGUAAUGUCUGGGAAACUGCCCGAUGGAGGGGGAUAACUACUGGAAACGGUAGCUAAUACCGCAUAACGUCGCAAGACCAAAGAGGGGGACCUUAGGGCCUCUUGCCAUCGGAUGUGCCCAGAUGGGAUUAGCUAGUAGGUGGGGUAAAGGCUCACCUAGGCGACGAUCCCUAGCUGGUCUGAGAGGAUGACCAGCCACACUGGAACUGAGACACGGUCCAGACUCCUACGGGAGGCAGCAGUGGGGAAUAUUGCACAAUGGGCGCAAGCCUGAUGCAGCCAUGCCGCGUGUAUGAAGAAGGCCUUCGGGUUGUAAAGUACUUUCAGCGGGGAGGAAGGGAGUAAAGUUAAUACCUUUGCUCAUUGACGUUACCCGCAGAAGAAGCACCGGCUAACUCCGUGCCAGCAGCCGCGGUAAUACGGAGGGUGCAAGCGUUAAUCGGAAUUACUGGGCGUAAAGCGCACGCAGGCGGUUUGUUAAGUCAGAUGUGAAAUCCCCGGGCUCAACCUGGGAACUGCAUCUGAUACUGGCAAGCUUGAGUCUCGUAGAGGGGGGUAGAAUUCCAGGUGUAGCGGUGAAAUGCGUAGAGAUCUGGAGGAAUACCGGUGGCGAAGGCGGCCCCCUGGACGAAGACUGACGCUCAGGUGCGAAAGCGUGGGGAGCAAACAGGAUUAGAUACCCUGGUAGUCCACGCCGUAAACGAUGUCGACUUGGAGGUUGUGCCCUUGAGGCGUGGCUUCCGGAGCUAACGCGUUAAGUCGACCGCCUGGGGAGUACGGCCGCAAGGUUAAAACUCAAAUGAAUUGACGGGGGCCCGCACAAGCGGUGGAGCAUGUGGUUUAAUUCGAUGCAACGCGAAGAACCUUACCUGGUCUUGACAUCCACGGAAGUUUUCAGAGAUGAGAAUGUGCCUUCGGGAACCGUGAGACAGGUGCUGCAUGGCUGUCGUCAGCUCGUGUUGUGAAAUGUUGGGUUAAGUCCCGCAACGAGCGCAACCCUUAUCCUUUGUUGCCAGCGGUCCGGCCGGGAACUCAAAGGAGACUGCCAGUGAUAAACUGGAGGAAGGUGGGGAUGACGUCAAGUCAUCAUGGCCCUUACGACCAGGGCUACACACGUGCUACAAUGGCGCAUACAAAGAGAAGCGACCUCGCGAGAGCAAGCGGACCUCAUAAAGUGCGUCGUAGUCCGGAUUGGAGUCUGCAACUCGACUCCAUGAAGUCGGAAUCGCUAGUAAUCGUGGAUCAGAAUGCCACGGUGAAUACGUUCCCGGGCCUUGUACACACCGCCCGUCACACCAUGGGAGUGGGUUGCAAAAGAAGUAGGUAGCUUAACCUUCGGGAGGGCGCUUACCACUUUGUGAUUCAUGACUGGGGUGAAGUCGUAACAAGGUAACCGUAGGGGAACCUGCGGUUGGAUCACCUCCUU